GCUUACAGUCACACUACCUGAGAAGCCUGAAUUCUUCGUCAGAUCUCGGAAGCUAAGCAAGGUUUGCGUCCUGGGUUAAAUACUUGAAUGGGAGACAACCUGGGAAUACCAGGUGCUGUUUAAGCU
ensembl:rRNA 5S_rRNA 5S ribosomal RNA